ensembl:lncRNA
CACUCCGUGUGUUGUUCUGCACUCGGGGUGGGGGUCGCCCCGUGUUCAGUGGAGGGGACACACGUCUCUGAGGGUCGUCACACUGAAGUCAUCACCCCCACCCCCCGCCAUCAGCCUCCAAGGGGACCCGAUGCUCUGAGCCGAGCCAGGGAGACCCGGACUCCAAUCCUGCCUGGGAAGCUCCUUCCGAGUGUUUCUCCUGCGGAACGAGAAGGGGACUCUUACAGACAUGCUUGGCUUACGCUCGGGAUUCUGGUCCUGGAGCCCACAGUGCUCGGCGGUCACCAGCUCUGUGAUGUGGACAGAGAGGCCGAGGACGGGUGGAUGGACAGACCCCAGGCUGCCUCACUCGGGUCGGGAGUCCACUCUGGGACCUAGCACCGAGGCGGUGGGGCCAGGGGUCCCUCUCCACGGGAGUGAACUCCAAACCAAAACACACUCAAUGUUAUUUCUUGCAAACAGGGAGUCUCUUCCCAAAUUGUGCCUGUGUGAGUGGGGAAAAGCAUUAACCGUACAAACUCACAGGAUGGUGGUUCUCGGAAAACAUGGCGGAAUUGAAAAGAGGAAAGCAGAUGCGGCUGCUGAGGCUUGGACAAACGUAGCUCUCUGUCCAGGAGUCUGUCGUGAAGAUGAAGGGCAGAAAGCAAAAGGCAGCUUCCUGCUCCCAGCCUGGUGCUGUGCGGAAUCCUCCAGGUUUGCUUCCAAGGAUUUGAAAACAAAUGGUGUAGGGGAUAUGUCUCAACCCGUUCCUCUGUCCCUGGAGACACGGUGGGGCCUCCGUCAGGACUGGCCGUCAGUCCAGCUCCACCCUGCACACGCAGAGCCCCUCCACCAGCGCUCCCUGCCCAGGGCUCCCACAGGCUGGCUUGGCCCGCAAGCAGCUGGCAUCCUGGCUGUUGGCAAAAGUGACGCCCACUCGCGAGAGGGACGCAGGUCGUCCUGGGGCUGCUCCAAGACUCUCGAGGGAGCUGGGAGAAGCUUUUUCUACCCAGUGGGUGCAGUCUGUCAUGGGAGCAACAGCUGCAGCAAUGGAAACGGCUGGGGAGGCGUUUUCAAAGAGGGCGGGCUGGCGAGAGGAUGAG